rnacentral:rRNA from 1 species
UACGUAGGGUGCAAGCGUUAUCCGGAAUCAUUGGGCGUAAAGCGUUCGUAGGCUGUUUGGAAAGUUUAUGGUUAAAUCCGGUGGCUCAACGAUCGAAUAGCUAUAAAAACUUCCAGACUAGAGAGUAGUAGAGGUAACUGGAAUUCCGCAUGUAGGGGUAAAAUCCGUAGAUAUGCGGAGGAACACCAAAAGCGAAGGCAGGUUACUGGGCUAUUUCUGACGCUGAGGAGCGAAAGUGUGGGGAGCAAACAGG